rnacentral:rRNA from 1 species
GAUGAACGCUGGCGGCGUGCCUAAUACAUGCAAGUCGAGCGAACAGACGAGGAGCUUGCUCCUCUGACGUUAGCGGCGGACGGGUGAGUAACACGUGGAUAACCUACCUAUAAGACUGGGAUAACUUCGGGAAACCGGAGCUAAUACCGGAUAAUAUAUUGAACCGCAUGGUUCAAUAGUGAAAGACGGUUUUGCUGUCACUUAUAGAUGGAUCCGCGCCGCAUUAGCUAGUUGGUAAGGUAACGGCUUACCAAGGCAACGAUGCGUAGCCGACCUGAGAGGGUGAUCGGCCACACUGGAACUGAGACACGGUCCAGACUCCUACGGGAGGCAGCAGUAGGGAAUCUUCCGCAAUGGGCGAAAGCUUGACGGAGCAACGCCGCGUGAGUGAUGAAGGUCUUCGGAUCGUAAAACUCUGUUAUUAGGGAAGAACAAAAUGUGUAAGUAACUAUGCACGUCUUGACGGUACCUAAUCAGAAAGCCACGGCUAACUACGUG